CCUACGGGAGGCAGCAGUGAGGAAUAUUGGUCAAUGGACGCGAGUCUGAACCAGCCAAGUAGCGUGAAGGAUGACUGCCCUAUGGGUUGUAAACUUCUUUUAUAUGGGAAUAAAAUGUUCCACGUGUGGGAUUUUGUAUGUACCAUCUGAAUAAGGAUCGGCUAACUCCGUGCCAGCAGCCGCGGUAAUACGGAGGAUCCGAGCGUUAUCCGGGUUUAUUGGGUUUAAAGGGAGCGUAGGUGGAUUGUUAAGUCAGUUGUGAAAGUUUGCGGCUCAACCGUAAAAUUGCAGUUGAAACUGGCAGUCUGGAGUACAGUAGAGGUGGGCGGAAUUCGUUGGGUAGCGGGGAAAUGCUUAGAUAUCACGAAGAACUCCGAUUGCGAAGGCAGCUCACUGGACUGCAACUGACACUGAGGCUCGAAAGUGUGGGUAUCAGACAGGAUUAGAUACCCCGUGUAGUC
rnacentral:rRNA from 1 species